CAUCCGCGAUUUUUGCUUGCCAGCCCUUCCUGACUAGGGGAGCAACUGCCAUGUCUGUCCUCAUACAAAAUACAUCACCACUACCCUUCCAACCAUGGAGGCAAUGAGGGGACGGUAUUUGUCGUCAUUGUGGGUAAAGGUGCACAACUUGGACGCCUCCUCUGAGAGGGGAACUUGAAAAUAACCGUCCACUGCGUCCAACUUGGCAGAAACGCGGGCCUCAGGCAUGACCUGGUGAAUGAGGUCAGGCACGGAAGAUGAAGAAUUAAAAUCAGUUUUAUUCUUUUUUAGAUUGAUAUUACGAGGCCCCCAAUGGAACGGCUUGCCGCCAUGUCGAGAGAGAAGAAGAGAGAGAGAGAGUGAGAGAGAGAGAAGGAGAGAGAGAGAGUGAGAGAGAAUGAGGGUAGCAAGGCUACCACGCAUUCAGGACACGAGGCAAUUUUGUUCCAGAUGUCGUUUUUGAUGACAGACCAAAGGUACAGCUGGGAAACAAGCUCACAUGUUUUAUUGACGCCAGAGUGCCAGGCGUUUAGGGGGUUGAUCACAGCGGGCUGAGCUGGGCGGGGAACAAACAGACGCUCACCUGCAAGUAUAAGGCCAUCCUAGACUUGGAGGGCGUUAACCAGCCCCGCGUAUACCGUACUGGGCACGGUUUUCACGAAGUUGUUGUUGGCAGGAAUUGAUGUUAGAACUCCACUUGAGGCCUCACUGCGGAUCACGGCGGCCAAGCGGGGACUGACCUUGAUCCUCUUGAUGGCAGUUUUGACCUACUUUUCCAUCUUUUCUGGGAGCUCCCCCUCCUUGGAUGGAUCAGAAAGCUCUGCUUUGUUGUUAGCCUUGGCCUCAAGAAGGUUGAUGGUAGCUGCAAUGCCAAUGUAGUAGGACAUGGAAGUCUUAUCCUCACAGGGAAUGACUGAAAAGCCUUAAGGUCCUUGCAGCCAAUGAAUGCUGGGCUAGGAAUGUUUGAGACAACUGCUUCAAUGAGCACAGAUGAGUAGGGAGUCAUUUCAUUGGGGAUGGUUGCCUUGAAGGAGAGUUUCCCAAGAUUGGAGAUGGAGGAACCGUUGGCGGCAACGAGGCGGGUAGCACCUGGGGCGAGCUUGACUCCAAGCCAUAGGACCCUGGUGAGGUUUGUUUGUUUGUGUGUUUGUUCGGAGUCAGAAGACAGCUCUCUUGCUCGGCAUGCUUCUGAUGAUGGGUGUCACAAUUAAGGGAUAUUCCUGCUCCGUUGUCGCAACCAAACGUGCAACAUCAAUUAUUACCUCACCCUCGGGAAUGAUCGCAGGUUCGCCCAUUUAAGCUGUUAAGGCAGCAACUUAUGCUGUAAUUUAAACACCGCAAAGAAGCUUGGACUCAGCUCACCUGGGAUCGAACCAGGAUUCGCGAAUUGGAAAGCAGUUGCUCUACCAAUACGGUACCCCAGCAAGCCUGACCCUGGUGGGGAUGACGGUCCUGGCUGUGCCGGAAUCAGGGAUGCCUGAUAUGAUGAACUUGAGGUUUUCUAAAAUGCAGGAAAGCAUGAUCUUGUUUAGGGUGGAGGAGGAGGCAGGGGUAGCAGUAGCAAUGGCUACUGAGUCUACACAGACAGUGGACGGGCUCCUGGCGACCAGAGGAUGAUGUACGGCGGGAGGGGCGGCCUUGAGAGUCAUCUCUUUGGCCUUUAAUUGGUGCGACAGCGACAGGCUUACUUAAUGUGUCCGGUUUUAUCGCAGAUUAAGCAUUUCUUCUCGCACAUUGGUCCAUGAGUGUGGUGUUGGGAGCCACAGCCCCGGAAGACUACCUCCACAGCAGUUAUGACAGAGGUGGCUGUUUUGAUAACGGGGUGGUGGGCAUGACGUGUUGGAUGGGCGUAAGAGUGGCAAUGGAUUCAGCCAUGAUUGAUUCGUGGAUGGUAGCAGUGGAUUCAGUCAUGAUUGAUUCAUGGAUGGUGGCAGUGGCUUGGAGCUCCUUGAGGGUGGGAUGCAUAACCUUCCUGAGUUCCCUGAAGAGCGCCGUUUCACUGUGGCAGCCUACAAGUGUGAAGAAAACUGUAGAACCUUCCCGGUCAUGGAAUUCAAAUCGACCUUGACUAAAAAGCCAAAAAGUCUGUGGACGAGGGGCCUUUCUUCCUAAAAUUCAGAAUCCCACCUCCUGUCAAAUAGGGGAUAUAGCGUGAGAGAUGGGCCUCAAUGCGUUCAAUGGCGGCCGUGAUCGUUGGCGUGCCGGCAACAACGGCGGAUAAAUCGGGCGCCACACAGGAUCUGGGGACGCCCAUCUGUACGUCAUCCGUUUUAGUGUCAAAGUAAGAUGCCUGUCUGUACUCCUGGAACCGAGUUUUACAUAGCUUCAUUUCAAGUGGGGAUGAGGUGUCCGUGAGGACACUCACUCAUGAGCUUGAACAUGGGAGCCCUAGCUGUGGGAGCCUUGGUGGCGACAGCAGCGUCGUGGGCGUGUCCCUGGCCAUCAGAAGGAUGCCAAGAUCUUUGAUGGCAUUUUCUAUCUCAUUGAGGUUGGUGUUCAUGCGUAAAGACAGGCAGAUACAUGUGGCCAUGUCCUCCUUUGGUGGGCUUUGGACGGGUCCUUGCCAAUGCAAUUUGACCAUUUCUCGGCAAACACCAGCCAUGCGGCCUCUAGUUCCCGGAACUUACUGACAAAGGUAGGGGUGUGGGCCUGUGGUGUAUUCCACUUCCAGAGGAACUGUACCCGGGUCAAGAGACCGUUCUUCGAAUUAGUGAUCGAUUUGGACAUUGUGAUGGGUCAGGUUGUGGACGGCGACAAUCACGGGGCAAUCGGAGGAUCACUGGUGGAAGAGAGGGCGGUAAUAGCUGUGUGGGACCUUAAGGAUGUGGGUGGGGUAACGUAGUCUUUUUAUUAUUUAUGUUUACUUUGGUGCUGAGAAAAAACACAAAACUAGGAUGCAAUUUGGGUUUAACCAUUAAAUUCAUAUAUGGUAUAUGGAAUGGCCUUGGGCUUUCUCAAUUAAUUCGAUCACCAAGUCAAUCUGACGUAGACUGACAUUUUGGUCCAGUGGUCAUUGAAGUCGUUGAGACAAUCCACAUGGGGACGAGAAGUGAUGUCACUGAGUCUCUUCAAGUAGCCCUAACAAAGAUAUCCAAGACUCCAGUUGGUGCAUGGGGGAGUUCCAACCAAUGAUACCGGUAUUUUGACCUUCAACUAUCUCAAGAUUGAAUUCCGUUGCCAACCUCAUCUCCGAUUUCGUGGGGCUCAGAUCAAUCAUGGCCUGAAGGACUUCAAAAAGAUUAAUUCUCGUUGUAAACGAGUUUCCCCAUCAGCCUUACACGCAAUUCUUAUCCUUUCACCUUCAGCCUUAAAUAAGCAGGCUGUGGAUAUGAAUAAUCCCUAACAUUUUUUGGUUUCCAUGGUUUCUGAGUCAAGGGCAAAAUUGCUAUCUUGUGCAAAUAAUUGAGCUUUAAUAAAUAUAUAUAAAUCGCAUCAA